UUCCUGUUCUGACCCUGCAGGCCCAGCUUUUGGGGACCACAGCCAUGUUCUUCACGGGACCUCUCAACCUGGCAUUCAUGCCCUUUCACGACAGCACCAGCCUGCCCUUCUUUCUUCCCCACAACUAUACAAGAGCUGUUGCCACUGAA
rnacentral:lncRNA from 1 species